rnacentral:rRNA from 1 species
AGAGUUUGAUCCUGGCUCAGAACGAACGCUGGCGGCGUGCUUAACACAUGCAAGUCGAACGCGAAAGUUUUCUUCGGAAGACGAGUAGAGUGGCGCACGGGUGAGUAACGCGUAAGAAAUCUGCGUAAGUUAUCUACCUCGGCAUCUGGAAUAACUCACCGAAAGGUGUGCUAAUACCGGAUACGUUGAGUAAUCAAGAAAGGUGGCCUCUGAAUAUGCUACUGUGCUGAGAUGAGCUUGCGUACCAUUAGCUAGUUGGUAGGGUAAUGGCCUACCAAGGCAACGAUGGUUAGCGGGUCUGAGAGGAUGAUCCGCCACACUGGAACUGAAACACGGACCAGACUCCUACGGGAGGCAGCAGUGAGGAAUAUUGCGCAAUGGGGGCAACCCUGACGCAGCGACGCCGCGUGAGUGAAGAAGGCCUUUGGGUCGUAAAGCUCUGUCAAUCGGGAAGAAGUUACAGGUGUCCAAUAGGCAUUUGUAUUGACGGUACCGGUGAAGGAAGCAUCGGCUAACUCCGUGCCAGCAGCCGCGGUAAUACGGGGGAUGCAAGCGUUAUUCGGAAUUAUUGGGCGUAAAGGGCGCGUAGGCGGUUUUGUCGGUCAGAUGUGAAAGCCCAGGGCUCAACCCUGGACGUGCAUUUGAAACAGCAAGACUUGAGUACGGGAGAGGAAAGCGGAAUUCCUGGUGUAGAGGUGAAAUUCGUAGAUAUCAGGAGGAACACCGAUGGCGAAGGCAGCUUUCUGGACCGAUACUGACGCUGAGGCGCGAAGGCGUGGGUAGCGAACAGGAUUAGAUACCCUGGUAGUCCACGCAGUAAACGAUGAUAACUAGGUGUAGCGGAUAUUAAAAUCUGCUGCGCCCAAGCUAACGCAUUAAGUGUACCGCCUGGGGAGUACGGUCGCAAGACUAAAACUCAAAGGAAUUGACGGGGGCCCGCACAAGCGGUGGAGCAUGUGGUUUAAUUCGACGCAACGCGAAGAACCUUACCUGGGUUUGACAUCCUGUGAAUCUUGUAGAGAUACGAGAGUGCCUUCGGGAGCACAGAGACAGGUGCUGCAUGGCUGUCGUCAGCUCGUGUCGUGAGAUGUUUGGUUAAGUCCAGCAACGAGCGCAACCCUUAUCUUUAGUUGCCAGCACAUCAUGGUGGGAACUCUAAAGAGACUGCCCGGGUCAACCGGGAGGAAGGUGGGGAUGACGUCAAGUCCUCAUGGCCCUUAUGUCCAGGGCUACACACGUGCUACAAUGGCCGGUACAAAGGGCAGCAACACAGCGAUGUGAAGCCAAUCCCAUAAAGCCGGUCUCAGUCCGGAUUGGAGUCUGCAACUCGACUCCAUGAAGUUGGAAUCGCUAGUAAUCGUGGAUCAGCACGCCACGGUGAAUACGUUCCCGGGCCUUGUACACACCGCCCGUCACACCACGAAAGUCGGUUGUACCAGAAGACGUUGAGCUGGGCUAACUUUGAGAGGCAGGCGCCUAAGGUAUGGUCGAUAACUGGGGUGAAGUCGUAACAAGGUAACC